GCUGAUGUGUGGUGAGCGUUCUGGUGCAAAAUGGCUGCCGUGCAUCACCCGGGUGGGUGCCACAUAUUGGAGGAUCAAAUCAACGCAUCACAGGACACUGAAAUGCCUAUGAAUUCCUAUACACCAGUUUCAUAAGUGACAGGGGUGAGUGUUGCCACUUACGAAAGAAAGGCAAUGAU